UACGUAGGAUCCGAGCGUUGUUCGGAAUUACUGGGCGUAAAGGGCACGUAGGCGGCGAUGCGGGUCAGAUGUGAAAGCCCCGGGCUCAACCUGGGAACUGCAUUUGAAACUGCAUUGCUUGAGGACGGAAGAGGAGAACGGAAUUCCCAGUGUAGAGGUGAAAUUCGUAGAUAUUGGGAAGAACACCAGUGGCGAAGGCGGUUCUCUGGUCCGUUCCUGACGCUGAGGUGCGAAAGCGUGGGGAGCAAACAGG
rnacentral:misc_RNA from 1 species